rnacentral:rRNA from 1 species
UACGUAGGGGGCGAGCGUUGUCCGGAUUUAUUGGGCGUAAAGAGCGUGUAGGCGGCCAGGUAGGUCCGUUGUGAAAACUCGAGGCUCAACCUCGAGACGUCGGCGGAAACCCUCUGGCUAGAGUCCGGAAGAGGAGAAUGGAAUUCCUGGUGUAGCGGUGAAAUGCGCAGAUAUCAGGAAGAACACCGAUGGCGAAGGCAGCUCGCUGGGACGGUACUGACGCUGAGGCGCGAAAGCGUGGGGAGCAAACAGG